UACGAGAGUACAAGGUAGUGGGUCGCUGC
rnacentral:piRNA from 1 species